rnacentral:rRNA from 1 species
UACGGAAGGCAGCAGUGGGGAAUAUUGCACAAUGGGCGCAAGCCUGAUGCAGCCAUGCCGCGUGUAUGAAGAAGGCCUUCGGGUUGUAAAGUACUUUCAGCGGGGAGGAAGGCGAUGUGGUUAAUAACCGCGUCGAUUGACGUUACCCGCAGAAGAAGCACCGGCUAACUCCGUGCCAGCAGCCGCGGUAAUACGGAGGGUGCAAGCGUUAAUCGGAAUUACUGGGCGUAAAGCGCACGCAGGCGGUCUGUUAAGUCAGAUGUGAAAUCCCCGGGCUUAACCUGGGAACUGCAUUUGAACUGGCAGGCUUGAGUCUCGUAGAGGGGGUAGAAUUCCAGGUGUAGCGGUGAAAUGCGUAGAGAUCUGGAGGAAUACCGGUGGCGAAGGCGGCCCCUGGGACGAAGACUGACGCUCAGGUGCGAAAGCGUGGGGAGCAAACAGGAUUAGGAUACC